rnacentral:misc_RNA from 1 species
GGGAUAAAGGCUUAGUUGAGUUGUUGCCCUCCACAUCAUUUUAAGUCUUCUCUUUUCUCUUCUCACUUGUUCCAUCAAUGCUUUGUCACAUCUUUGUACUGGGGCAAUUAAUUCUUACAUUGGAUAUGACCAAACUAAUUUUAGGUCUUUUCCUUUCUUUCCUCACUCAUUCCACCAAUGUUUUAUCACAUCUCUGUACUAGAGUAUUUAAUUCUUACGUUGGAUAUGACCAAACUAUCUUAAUCAAUAUUCUCUUAUUUUAUCUUCAAUUAUGCUACAUAUACUAUUUGGCAGAUUUAGUCAUUCCUAAUCUUAUUUAUUAUCAUAACACUAGACACAAGGACAGACCGAGCAUAUAAUGGCCCCUUAUUAUUUUUUUAAAUAGAUAUAUUGUAACCUUGAAGCGGAAUUGAUUGCUUUGGCCCACUUGUGACAUAGGAAUCUUGUUAGGCUAAGAGGAUGGUGUGUUCAU